CACAUGCAAGUCGAACGGUAACAGGAAGAAGCUUGCUUCUUUGCUGACGAGUGGCGGACGGGUGAGUAAUGUCUGGGAAACUGCCUGAUGGAGGGGGAUAACUACUGGAAACGGUAGCUAAUACCGCAUAACGUCGCAAGACCAAAGAGGGGGACCUUCGGGCCUCUUGCCAUCGGAUGUGCCCAGAUGGGAUUAGCUAGUAGGUGGGGUAACGGCUCACCUAGGCGACGAUCCCUAGCUGGUCUGAGAGGAUGACCAGCCACACUGGAACUGAGACACGGUCCAGACUCCUACGGGAGGCAGCAGUGGGGAAUAUUGCACAAUGGGCGCAAGCCUGAUGCAGCCAUGCCGCGUGUAUGAAGAAGGCCUUCGGGUUGUAAAGUACUUUCAGCGGGGAGGAAGGGAGUAAAGUUAAUACCUUUGCUCAUUGACGUUACCCGCAGAAGAAGCACCGGCUAACUCCGUGCCAGCAGCCGCGGUAAUACGGAGGGUGCAAGCGUUAAUCGGAAUUACUGGGCGUAAAGCGCACGCAGGCGGUUUGUUAAGUCAGAUGUGAAAUCCCCGGGCUCAACCUGGGAACUGCAUCUGAUACUGGCAAGCUUGAGUCUCGUA
rnacentral:rRNA from 1 species